GAUCAUGGCUCAGGAUGAACGCUGGCGGCGUGCUUAACACAUGCAAGUCGAACGGGAAACCUUUUAUUGAAGCUUCGGCAGAUUUAGCUGGUUUCUAGUGGCGGACGGGUGAGUAACGCGUGGGUAACCUGCCUUAUACAGGGGGAUAACAACCAGAAAUGGUUGCUAAUACCGCAUAAGCGCACAGGACCGCAUGGUCCGGUGUGAAAAACUCCGGUGGUAUAAGAUGGACCCGCGUUGGAUUAGCUAGUUGG
rnacentral:rRNA from 1 species